CUCUUUUUGCUUGAGGCUAUCAUAUUUUUCCAUUCUGUUCUAAAAUCCCGGAAUAGCUUUUACAUUAUGAGUACCUCUGAAAAUUCUUACAUGAGCUUCUUUGAAGCUGUCGAUUCUGAGUCAAGUCACUCUGACUCUGAGUACUCUGAGCUCAGUUACCAUGAAGACUCUGAAGUGAGGUGCUCAUGUGGACUUCCUGCUAAAUUGCGAGUGUCUCAAACACCCAGAAAUCCUUUUCGAUUGUUCUAUAACUGCCCCGGGAGCUAUAAUUUUCAAUGUGGAUUUUUCCGUUGGUGGGAUGAGCCAGCUCCGACUGGUGAUAGACAUACAGAUGAACUAAACCUCAUUCGUAAUGAGUGUGCUCGACUACAAGGAAGACUGGAUGAAAUCGAACAGAGACAUGAAAAUGAUAGGAGUGUUUGGGAAAGAGAAAAAUCCGAGCUAAUGUUGAAAUUAUCAACUGUGCAAACUGAGCUUGAUGAGAUUAAAGAAAGACUUAGAACAGUGAACGAGUCGGAUCUUAUGCCACCGCUUGAUAAUUUAUUAAUAGCAGACGAUGAGGGAGAUGAUGUGAUAGAGAUACACACUAUAUAAGUAGUAGAGUUU
rnacentral:misc_RNA from 1 species